AUUGAACGCUGUCGGCAGUCUUAACACAUGCAAGUAGAGCGAGCGGCGGACGUGUGAGUAAUGUCUGGGAAACUGCCUGAUGGAUGGGGAUAACUACUGGAAACGGUAUCUAAUACCGCAUACCAUCAUAUGUGCCCAUAUGGGAUUAGAUAGUAGGUGGGGUAAUGUCUCACCUAGGCGACGAUCCCUAGCUGGUCUGAGAGGAUGACCAGCGACACUGGAACGGAGACACGGUCCAGACUCCUACGGGAGGCAGCAGUGGGGAAUAUUGCACAAUGGGCGCAAGCCUGAUGCAGCCAUGCCGCGUGUGUGAAGAAGGCCUUCGGGUUGUAAAGCACUUUCAGCGAGGAGGCGUUACUCGCAGAAGAAGCACCGGCUAACUCCGUGCCAGCAGCCGCGGUAAUAC
rnacentral:rRNA from 1 species